rnacentral:rRNA from 1 species
GCACCUGCGGUAAUUCCAGCUCCAAUAGCGUAUAUUAAAGUUGUUGCAGUUAAAAAGCUCGUAGUUGGGUUUCUGCGAGGGUGCCAAUGUCCGCCGACGCGCGUGCGCAGCGGCGCCCUCGCAUCCUUCUGUUACCACCUCUCGGCAUUUACUUGCCGGUGGUCGGCUCAGAGAAUUUACCUUGAGAAAAUUAGAGUGUUUCAGGCAGGCUAGGCCGGAAUACAUUAGCAUGGAAUAAUGGAAUAGGACUACGGUCUCGUUGUUGGUUUGAGGGACUGCAGUAAUGAUUAAUAGGGAUAGUUGGGGGCAUUAGUAUUUAAUUGUCAGAGGUGAAAUUCUCAGAUUUGUUAAAGACUAACUUAUGCGAAAGCAUUUGCCAAGGAUGUUUUCAUUGAUCAAGAACGAAAGU